GUAGUACUCUCUCCGUCCGGAAAUACUUGUCAUUCAAAUGGAUGUAUCUAGAUGUAUUUUAGUUCUAAAUAUAUUCAUUUUAAUGAUAAAUAUUUCCGGACGGAGGGAGUACUAU
rnacentral:pre_miRNA from 1 species